rnacentral:rRNA from 1 species
CCUACGGGUGGCAGCAGUGAGGAAUAUUGGUCAAUGGACGCAAGUCUGAACCAGCCAUGCCGCGUGCAGGAAGACGGCUCUAUGAGUUGUAAACUGCUUUUGUACGAGGGUAAAUCCCGAUUCGUGUAUCGGGUUGAAAGUAUCGUACGAAUAAGGAUCGGCUAACUCCGUGCCAGCAGCCGCGGUAAUACGGAGGAUUCAAGCGUUAUCCGGAUUUAUUGGGUGUAAAGGGUGCGCAGGCGGAAGAUCAAGUCAGCGGUAAAAUUGCGAGGCUCAACCUCUUCGAGCCGUUGACACUGGUUUUCUUGAGUGAGCGAGAAGUAUGCGGAAUGCGUGGUGUAGCGGUGAAAUGCUUAGAGAUCAUACAGAACACCGAUUGCGAAGGCAGCUUACCAAGCUACUUCUGACGUUGAGGCACGAAAGCGUGGGGAGCAAACAGGAUUAGAUACCCCAGUAGUC